ACAGACUACCCCACAAGGAGUCAUUAUAAAAGAAAACCCAAGUGCUGUAUGUAUGCACAUGUAGCUGUGCCUUUUCACAGAGCUUUCUUGCAGUACUACCACAGCUUUGAUUGCUUUGGUCAAAUUGGACUGGCAUUGUUUUGACAUUAUUUCUCUAGAUGGAGAAAAUGAGGUAUUUGGGAUUCAUCUAAGGUCUUCCAUGUGGAGAUGAGGUAAUGUGGUGCAGCCAAGGAUGACUUGCCGGCCGGCUGGCGAGCUGGCUCACCACCUGGCGUUUGGAGAGCUUGAUGGGAAGACCGGCAAGUCGUCUUUGGCUACAUGUUUAAUCUCAUAUUUACAUGUAAGAUCUGUGAUGACAAUACUGAUUAUGUCGUCAAUUAACUACGACGAAGUUCAAGCUUGCAUAGUGAUAAUGGACAUUGGACAUGAAGGCUAAUUAUGGGUGCAUAUACCUAUGGCAUGGAAUGCAGGUAAUCCGACCUAGAGGGAAAAGUAACUGAUGAGAUUACUCUUUAUUUAGGUAAAUCAUUGGUUGGCUGAAGAGACGAUAACAUUCUGUUUGUAUUGAAAGAAAACAAGCACAACACUUCUUUGUUUUUGGGGAAAUGACAAAUGCAACACCUCAGAGCACUGAUAUAAAGAGAGUUGCAGCCAGAGAAUUAAUAGACAAACACAAAAAGACGCUCCAUAAGCAACCUUCCCAAGCUGCAUACAUUAUUCUUGCAUGCAUCUGCACAUUACUUGGCCUCUAGAGAUUGCCACAGCUGACAAAAUGAUGAGUAAAAUAAGCACAAUGAUCCCACCAAAAGAGCCGAUCAAAGAACCCGAAAUGCGUUCGCAGAAGGAGUUGAACUGCUGGCAUAUUGCAAACCAAUUGGCACUGGAAUUCCCUUUGUGCGCUAAGUAGACAAUGGCUGCUGCUGCAGAAGCCCCAGCAGUGAGAAGAGCCAGCAUUACCUGCACAAAUUUUUUUAUCACACACAUUUUAGUUUGUUGAUUUGCUUCAUUUUUUGUUUUCUCCAACAGACAUUUGGACUUUACUGAAUUCGAAGGGCAGAAGGAAAAGAAAAGGAAAUUUGGAAUGUUCAAUCUCAUGGGUUAAGUUCAUUAAGCCUAAUAACAAGCCUUGUAAAUGUAGUUCUUAAUAGAGACUGGUUUUAGAUGCU